CCUUCGGGUGGCAGCAGUGAGGAAUAUUGGUCAAUGGCCGAGAGGCUGAACCAGCCAAGUCGCGUGAGGGAAGAAUGUCCUAUGGAUUGUAAACCUCUUUUGUCAGGGAGCAAAGUCACCCACGUGUGGGUGUUGGAGAGUACCUGAAGAAAAAGCAUCGGCUAACUCCGUGCCAGCAGCCGCGGUAAUACGGAGGAUGCGAGCGUUAUCCGGAUUUAUUGGGUUUAAAGGGUGCGCAGGCGGAAUGUCAAGUCAGCGGUAAAAUUUCGGGGCUCAACCCCGUCGUGCCGUUGAAACUGGCGUUCUUGAGUGAGCGAGAAGUAUGCGGAAUGCGUGGUGUAGCGGUGAAAUGCAUAGAUAUCACGCAGAACUCCGAUUGCGAAGGCAGCAUACCGGCGCUCAACUGACGCUCAUGCACGAAAGCGUGGGUAUCGAACAGGAUUAGAUACCCGUGUAGUC
rnacentral:rRNA from 1 species